CUCUGUUAAAAGAAAAAAAAGACCUGGAUUCAUAAACUUGCUAAUCCAACAUCAAGGAGAACAAAAAUUAAUUAUUUGGAAAUAAACUGAUGAGGCACUAUUAUUAUUAUACUUUUUGCUUGAAACAUUGUUAAUUCUUUUUGUUUGCUAGAUUAAAGGAAUUUUUUAUGUUUGUUUUUAAGCUAUCUAUAGCUUACAGAAAUUUGGUAAAGUAUACUUUUUUUGAGCAGCAUUGAAUCAUUCACCUUUUCUCCCUUCCUGAUCCCUCUGUAAUUCAGAAAAUAUUCAUGAGUGUUGUUAACUUUCUGACAAUAUACUUACCCACAUAAAUUCAACAAAAAUUUGUUCUAACAGGAGAUAGCUGGAAACACAGAUUAUAUUACCAAAACUUUCACUAGAAUGUCAAUUCUUCAGAUAUGAACAGACAACUUUAAAAAACUGAGGUUGGAUUUAUGAAACCAGUAAAAGCCCCUUGAAGAAGCUGAGCUGGUACCUUGAAUACAAGUUUCCUGGCCUUGUGGAGAUUCAAGAAUGUGACUUUCUGACCUGCCUUGGGACCUCAAAAUAUUUUGUGAGCCUAAAAGAGAGAAGAAUUCAGCUAGCUUCUACAAGUAAAGUUUGAUGCAUUUUGCUUUGGCAUCCAGGCUGGAGUGCAGUGGCACGAUCUCAGCUCACUCAGCUCAACCUCCGCCUCCCAGGUUCAAGCGAUUCUCCUACCUCAGCCUCCCGGGUGAGUGGGAUUACAGGCGUCAGCCACCAUGCCCAGCUAAUUUCUGUAUUUUUAGUAGAGAUGGGGUUUCACCACUUUGGCCAGGCUGGUCUUGAACUCCUGACCGCAGAGGAUCCGCCUGCCUCGGCCUCCCAAAAUUCACCAGGCCGGCCUAAAGCCUUU
rnacentral:lncRNA from 10 species